UCCCCUGUAGCUCAGUUGGUAGAGCAUGGCACUUGUAAAGCCAGGGUUGUGGGUUUGAUACCCACGGGGGAC
rnacentral:tRNA from 1 species